GCAAGGUUGAAACUCAAAGGAAUUGACGGGGGCCCGCACAAGCGGUGGAGCAUGUGGUUUAAUUCGAAGCAACGCGAAGAACCUUACCAGGUCUUGACAUCCUUUGACCACUCUGGAGACAGAGCUUUCCCUUCGGGGACAAAGUGACAGGUGGUGCAUGGUUGUCGUCAGCUCGUGUCGUGAGAUGUUGGGUUAAGUCCCGCAACGAGCGCAACCCUUGAUUUUAGUUGCCAGCAUUUAGUUGGGCACUCUAAAGUGACUGCCGGUGCAAGCCGGAGGAAGGUGGGGAUGACGUCAAAUCAUCAUGCCCCUUAUGACCUGGGCUACACACGUGCUACAAUGGAUAGUACAAAGGGUCGCGAAGCCGCGAGGUGGAGCUAAUCCCAUAAAACUAUUCUCAGUUCGGAUUGUAGGCUGCAACUCGCCUACAUGAAGCCGGAAUCGCUAGUAAUCGUGGAUCAGCAUGCCACGGUGAAUACGUUCCCGGGCCUUGUACACACCGCCCGUCACACCACGAGAGUUUGUAACACCCGAAGUCGGUAGGGUAACCUUUAUGGAGCCAGCCGCCGAAGGUGGGACAGAUAAUUGGGGUGAAGUCGUAACAAGGUAGCCGUAUCGGAAGGUGCGGCUGGAUCACCUCCUUUCUAAGGAA
rnacentral:rRNA from 1 species